rnacentral:rRNA from 1 species
CCGGCACGGGUGAGUAACACGUAUCCAACCUGCCGUCUACUCUUGGACAGCCUUCUGAAAGGAGGAUUAAUACAAGAUGGCAUCAUGAGUCCGCAUGUUCAUAUGAUUAAAGGUAUUCCGGUAGACGAUGGGGAUGCGUUCCAUUAGAUAGUAGGCGGGGUAACGGCCCACCUAGUCUUCGAUGGAUAGGGGUUCUGAGAGGAAGGUCCCCCACAUUGGAACUGAGACACGGUCCAA